GACGAACGCUGGCGGCGUGCUUAACACAUGCAAGUCGAACGGAAAGGCCCUGCUCUUGCGGGGUGCUCGUGUGGCGAACGGGUGAGUAACACGCGAGUAACCUCUCCUUGACUUUGGGAUAACUUCUGGAAACUGGGGCUAUUAUCGGAUAGGAGCUCUUGCAGCAUGGUGGGGGUUGGAAAGUUUCGGCGGUUGGGGAUGGACUCGCGGGUUACUCGCCUGUUGGUGGGGUAGUGGCUUACCAAGGUUUUGACGGGUAGCCGGCCUGAGAGGGUGACCGGCCUCAUUGGGACUGAGAUACGGCCCAGACUCCUACGGGAGGCAGCAGUGGAGAAUAUUGCACAAUGGGCGGAAGCCAGAUACAGCAACGCCGCGUGCGGGAUAACGGCCUUCGAGUUAUAAACCGCUUUCGCCGGUGACGAAGCGUGAGUGACGGUAAUUGAUAAAAAAGCACCGGCUAACUACGUG
rnacentral:rRNA from 1 species